GCCAAUUUAGUUUCAAUCAGGUAAAAUGUUCUCUAGAUGGUGCAUAGAGAAAGAUGCAGGUUCAAAUCCUGUAAUUGGCA
rnacentral:tRNA from 1 species